CGAUUGCGAUGUCACGUGACUGGAUUUGUUCAAAAACACUUCUGGCGAAAUCAGGUUUAUUGUUAGUUCAGAAGGCGAAGCAAGUACUUCAUUUUGAAAGAAUUCCGAGAACAAGAUCAGUUUUUAAUGCAUUGUUGAUGCUUCUUUAUUAUAAAAGUCCAUAUGUAUUUAUGUUUUGGGGUCGGUUGGCUUUCGACAGGAUAGUCUGAAAUUCAACUGAAUAUCAAAGAAAAUGCAUAAAACUAUCUUUCUUUUACUGAUUGGUGUAGCAGUAGCAAGUGCAGUAGUAUGCCCUAGAAACUAUUGUGAGAAGAUGAAAUGCGAGGAAGUGAGUUGUUCCUCCAAUCAAAAGUACACAGAACAUGCAACAUUUUGUGGAUGUUGCCCUGCAUGCCUUAGUGUUAUAAAAAAAGGUCAAAGUUGUGCCUCUUUGUUUAUCAGAGGUUUACCACCAAGAGCUACAUGUGACAACGGAUUACAUUGCGAUUUUAAUACAAAAACAUGCCAAUAACAAAAAUAUUCUUAUCAUGAAUGAACCAGCGAAGAAUGUCAUUUCAGAUUCUUGAUGAAAUUAUGUAUAUGAUAGAAUAAAAAUACUUCUUACUCAGCA